AAUCAACAGGUUUGUAGUACGGCAGAAUUGGUGGCUCGGGGACCUUGAUAAGAGAUUCUAUCGACGAAGAAGAGGACUGUAAGGAGAGUUUGGAAAGUUUCCCUCUUUCAACCUGGAGCCAUGCCUGUGGAUAGAAAGCAUUGAGCUGCGUCUCUUUACAGGACUCGGAAGGGAAGAAAGUUCUCAUCGCGCACAAGAGAUCAACACGACUUCCAGAUCUCUAAAAAUGCCAGAUGGCUCUCUUUCCCCAAUCGAACUAACCACAAAU
rnacentral:misc_RNA from 1 species